rnacentral:misc_RNA from 1 species
CAUGGCGGGGCUUCUCUCGAUCGCUCCCAGCUUCGGUUCGGGCGCGCUCGAGGGUCGUCUCACGCUCUACACCCUUGUCUAUUUGUACCCUCUGUUGUUUCCUCGGCGGGUGUUCCCCGCCGUUGGGAAUUUCAUACAACCUCUUUGCAUUAGUAUCAAAUUUUUCUGAACAAAAAGUUAAUAAUCA